GAUGAACGCUGGCGGCGUGCUUAACACAUGCAAGUCGAACGGAAAGGCCCUGCUUUUGUGCGUUUCUCGAGUGGCGAACGCGGGAGUAACACGUGUGUAACCUGCCCUUGUCUUUCGGAUAACUUCAGGGAACUGGGGCUAAUAUCGGAUAGGAUCUCCUGCUGCAUGGGGGGGGUUGGAAAGUUUCGGCGGUGGGGGAUGGACUAGCGGCUUAUCAGCUUGUUGGUGGGGUAGUUGCGUACCAAGGCUUUGACGGGUAGGCCGCCUGGGAGCGUGGACGGGCACCUUGGGCCUACGAUACGGAGCAGAAUGGUACGUGCGGCAGCAGUGGGAAGUCUUACACAGUGAGCGCACGCGUGAUACGAAAGCGCUCGGUGCGGAAAGACGGCCUUCGGGUUGUGAACAGCUUUGGCCUGUGACGAAGCGUGCGUGACGGUACUGGGUAAAGAAGCACCGGCUAACUACGUG
rnacentral:rRNA from 1 species